UUUAGACAGAUUUGUUCAUUGCCCCUCUCAAGUGCCCUCUGAGCUGGGGGCCAUUAUUCCAGCUCCUCUGUGCUUCCUCAGUUAAACCAAGGACCUCAGCUGCUUCUCCCACUUGGCCAAGCAGGGAGGAAGAAGCUUAGGCAGGGCCCUCCUUCCUUCUUGCCUUUGGAUGUUCUCUCUCAGGGGCCGGUGUCACGAGGGAGCAUAGAAAUCAGGGAUGGCCGUUGGCCACGUCUUCCUUCUACUCGACCUUCCCCCUGCCACGGGCCCUUUCCUCGGGCAAGGUCUGGCCUCAGGUGGGCCAUAGGCGGAAGAGCAACCCUUGGCCAGAAGUCAGGCCCAACCACAUGGAGCCUAGAGCUGGGGCCACCGACUUCUCCAUCCUUUCUGCCUCCCAGCAUCACUUGAGUCCCAGGGCCUUGGUUUUCAUGUUUUUGAAACAGAACAAUAAAGCAUAUGUGUUAGCUUGUUAUAUAA